UGGGGAAUAUUGCACAAUGGGGGAAACCCUGAUGCAGCAACGCCGCGUGAGUGAUGAAGGUUUUCGGAUCGUAAAGCUCUGUCUUUGGGGAAGAUAAUGACGGUACCCAAGGAGGAAGCCACGGCUAACUACGUGCUAG
rnacentral:rRNA from 1 species